GAUUAACGCUAGCGGCAGGCCUAAUACAUGCAAGUCGAGGGGCAGCAGGAUGUAGCAAUACAUUGCUGGCGACCGGCGUACGGGUGCGUAACACGUAUGCAACCUUUCCUUAACCGGGGAAUAGCUCCGAGAAAUCGGAAUUAAUACCCCAUAACAUUGCGAGAUGGCAUCAUUUUGCAAUUAAAGCUCCGGCAGUUAAGGGUGGGCAUGCGUCCCAUUAGCUUGUUGGCGAGGUAACGGCUCACCAAGGCAACGAUGGGUAGGGGUUCUGAGAGGA
rnacentral:rRNA from 1 species